rnacentral:rRNA from 1 species
AAAGGAAUAGACGGGGGCCCGCACAAGCGGUGGAGCAUGUGGUUUAAUUCGAAGCAACGCGAAGAACCUUACCAGGGCUUGACAUCUACCGGAAGACUUGUGGAGACAUAAGUUGUUCUUCGGAACUGGUAGACAGGUGGUGCAUGGUUGUCGUCAGCUCGUGUCGUGAGAUGUUGGGUUAAGUCCCGCAACGAGCGCAACCCUUAUUCUUAGUUGCCAGCACGUUAAGGUGGGCACUCUAAGGAGACUGCCGGUGACAAACCGGAGGAAGGUGGGGACGACGUCAAAUCAUCAUGCCCUUUAUGUCCUGGGCUACACACGUGCUACAAUGGCCUGAACAGCGGGUUUGCGAUGUCGCGAGGCGGAGCUAAUCCCUUAAAUCAGGUCUCAGUUCGGAUUGCAGGCUGCAACUCGCCUGCAUGAAGUCGGAAUCGCUAGUAAUCGCGAAUCAGAACGUCGCGGUGAAUACGUUCCCGGGCCUUGUACACACCGCCCGU